GCAACCCUCCUGGUAGUGCAGGUGAACAAGGUUCUGGUUCAGGUUAUAUGGGGGGUGGCUAUGGUGAUGCGACUGGUAGUGUGGGUUAUCCAACUACUUGGAGAUCGGACCCUUCACAGGGAGGGGGUUAUGGGGCCGGUCAGGUGAGUGGGCCUCCUGGUGGUCCAGCUGGUUACGGCAGUGGGUAUGGUGGUGGUCAGCCCAGGCAGGCCCAGUAAUGUCAUAUCAUGCUGGAGAUUCCUCAUUUCCGACCUUGGUUUGUUCUUUCCUUUACUGCAAAGCUGCGUGAUUGGUUUUUUGCUGGCUGAGAAGAGAAGCUCUUUCAAAGGAAGGCACACUUCACCCAACGGUUGGAUUGCUUGAAUCUCUUAGUACUAUCACUAGUAUGCAUUGCUUAGAAUAUAAUGAGUACAUGUUAUACUAGUAUUGUGUGCGUCAUCU
rnacentral:misc_RNA from 1 species